UACGGAGGGUGCAAGCAUUAAUCGGAUUUACUGGGCGUAAAGAGCACGUAGGUGGGAAAGAAAGUUAGAUGUGAAAGACUAGAGCUCAACUCUAGGACCGCAUCUAAUACUGCUUUUCUUGAGGAUAGGCGGAGAAAAUGGAAUUCCACGUGUAGCGGUGAAAUGCGUAGAUAUGUGGAAGAACACCAGUGGCGAAGGCGAUUUUCUAGCUUAUUCCUGACGCUGAGGUGCGAAAGCUAGGGGAGCAAACAGG
rnacentral:misc_RNA from 1 species